AGUGCAUUUUGAAGCAUUCAGUGUGCGCCGGCGGCCAUCAUUUAUUUCGCUCUCCCUCUUUUAUUCUCUUUCUGACCAAACUGCGUGAGCAGUGCUCACUAGCAGGGACUACUCAAAGAGGACGGACGUGUGGACGAGCGAUUUAUUCUAAAAGCCGAAUGAAGCACAAACGGCUUAACGCAAAAGCACUCAAGGAUUAACAAUAAAAUCAGGUUUGAGUGUCUAUCGAUUGGAAAUAUUAUUACGAACUUAACGCGGUAUGACACUUCUCAUUUGUUGAGUUGCCUCGGAUAAAAUACUGAUACUAUUAAGUGAAAAAAUUGGAUUCAUCACUUAUGGCAAGAACAGGAAUUUUUCCGUUGAUAUUUUUUGUCGACGAGCGAUUUGUUCUAAAAGCCGAAUGAAGCACAAACGGCUUAACGCAAAAGCACUCACGGGUUAACAACGAAAUCAGGUUUGAGUGUCUAUCGAUUGGCAAUAUUAUUACGAACUUAACGCGGUAUGACACUUCUCAUUUGUUGAGUUGCCUCGUAUAAAAUACUGAUACUAGUGAUACUACUGAUAGUGAAAAAAUUGGAUUCAUCACUUAUGGCAAGAACAGGAAUUUUUCCGUUGAUAUUUUUUGUCGACGAGCGAUUUAUUCUAAAAGCCGAACGAAGCACAAACGGCUUAACGCAAAAGCACUCACGGAUUAACAAUGAAAUCAGGUUUGAGUGUCUAUCGAUUGGCAAUAUUAUUACGAACUUAACGCGGUAUGACACUUCUCAUUUGUUGAGUUGCCUCGUAUAAAAUACUGAUACUAGUGAUACUACUGAUAGUGAAAAAAUUGGAUUCAUCACUUAUGGCAAGAACAGGAAUUUUUCCGUUGAUAUUUUUUGUCGACGAGCGAUUUAUUCUAAAAGCCGAACGAAGCACAAACGGCUUAACGCAAAAGCACUCACGGAUUAACAAUGAAAUCAGGUUUGAGUGUCUAUCGAUUGGCAAUAUUAUUACGAACUUAACGCGGUAUGACACUUCUCAUUUGUUGAGUUGCCUCGUAUAAAAUACUGAUACUAGUGAUACUACUGAUAGUGAAAAAAUUGGAUUCAUCACUUAUGGCAAGAACAGGAAUUUUUCCGUUGAUAUUUUUUGUCGACGAGCGAUUUAUUCUAAAAGCCGAACGAAGCACAAACGGCUUAACGCAAAAGCACUCACGGAUUAACAAUGAAAUCAGGUUUGAGUGUCUAUCGAUUGGCAAUAUUAUUACGAACUUAACGCGGUAUGACACUUCUCAUUUGUUGAGUUGCCUCGGAUAAAAUACUGAUACUAUUAAGUGAAAAAAUUGGAUUCAUCACUUAUGGCAAGAACAGGAAUUUUUCCGUUGAUAUUUUUUGUCGACGAGCGAUUUAUUCUAAAAGCCGAACGAAGCACAAACGGCUUAACGCAAAAGCACUCACGGAUUAACAAUGAAAUCAGCGAUCGUUUGGUGCUAGUUCAUAUGUCGGAAAAAUUAAAACAAUACAAUAAAGAGCGCAACUGCCGGGAUGACAAGCCACUGAUGCUGAAUGAUGGGAUGUACUUCGUGGAUGUUCGAGCUGCGGCUCAAUGCUUCUUAUCUCCGAUCCGAUUUGCUGCUGAAGAUAAGGUCAAUUAAAUGCCAAUUUCACUCCCUGCAAAAGUAAACACAGUUGCCUUUUGUACCAACUCUAAACACCUUGCACUUUAUGUUUUGAUGAACAAGCUGAUUCUGGCUGCAAAAAUACUGAAACGUAAUCUGAAUCGUAAUCUAAAACGUAAUCUAAAACGUGAUUGAAAAGUAAUAAAAACGUAAACGUGAGUCACUUUGAACGGGCCAGAUGUUUCAAGCUAUCAGCUGUUCUCGCCUACAAUACUGAAACGCAAUGAAAAACGUAAACGUAACACACUCUGACCUAAAAAAGAAAGUAAACAAACGCAAGUGUUUUUUAACUUAAAGCAUGCAAACUACGGCUAAAAAUGACCACGCUAUAUAGUAUACUCUGGCCAAAUAUACUUAAGCGGUAUAAAUCAAUCGACAAACAAUCGAUACCUCACAUAUCGCCAACCAAACGCCAAGAAAUGCCAAGCAACUACGAUAAUACUCAAUAAAUGCAACAAUACUGAAGAAGGUUCAAAUUGCUGGUCGUACCAAGAAUACCAAAAAAUCCGCGCUUCAAUGACUACUAAAACAACAAAUUUAUAGCCUGGCCAAAUACACUAAUGGGGCACAUAGAAAUCAGCAAAGGGGCUGGCACUUUGCACACCGUCAAAUGAACACCAACACGAAAUCCUUGGCCGCCAGAAUGACUACUACAUUGACGACCCUAAAAAAAAAAUAAUAAUAAACUAAUUUUCGUUCUAGAAAGAGAGGAUCCUUGGCCUGCUAUAGAUUGGCCAAACUUUAGCU